rnacentral:lncRNA from 1 species
GAGAGCUCACAGCCAAUUUCAUGAGACGGUGCUACAUUAUCGUGCCUUCUUGCAUGAGGAAUUCAAGGCCACAUGCGGUUUCGUCACUUGUCAAAGAUCUUAAAACCAUUCAUCGGGAGAACUAGGAAAGGACACCUCUGGGCCUGCCUGUGAGCUGCUGCUAGAGAAGAUUAGCCGAGAACUGAGUGAAUGAGAGCCACCUUGAGAGGAGUGCCAUCUAACAGGCUGGAGGUCCGGGUGACGUGAGAAAGUAGAAAGGGGAAGCAAGCCCUGGAUUAUGAGUUUCUUCCCCAGUGGGUGUGGUUUGAUGCUGCCGAUUCAGAUGAACAUCACACUCCAGCAUCACACUCCAGCUUCUUCAGCCUUUGACAGACCUGCAGCAGUGAGAUGCAAGGACCUUGGAGGCCCUCACCCUCAGACCCAGGACAACCGUUGGCUUCUCAGUCUCUGUUCUCACAAGCAUCUUGUUCUGCGUUCCCUAGCUGACACCCAGCUCUCCAAUCUACAGAGGACUGCUGUGGCCCCACAGAGUACUCCAGACUAUUAGCUUCCUCUUGUUAUUGUAUAUAUUCCUUACCCUUAAUGGUCCCAAUACAAGGGUGAAUUAUCACUCUUCUCAGAUCUGUCACCAUCAAUCCAAUAAUGAAGAGAACCAUUUUCAUCUGAAUAAGCAAUUAACCUCCAAGUGGCAGCGUGGAACCAAGGUCUACAGUGGCUGCUGAGGUCAGACUUGAAGAAAUGACUCACAUGCAAGGCUGAUCUACAUAAGUAGCCUGUGCUAAGACUGCCAUCUGGUAGAACAAUCUACAUCACACGACUCCACGUUUCCUGUUACCCAAGCAUCUCCAUGCUCUGCAGGUGCAGCUUCGAUGGACCAUGGCCAUAUUGCCCCACUACUAUCAAUCACACUGAGAUGUAGUCCACAGCAUUCAACAAGCCACCACUCAUGGGAUAGAGGAUAGGCAAAAGGAACAACUAAGACAGUAGAGGAGCCCAGCACUCCGAACCCCUAAUCAUGCCUUCGGUGGAUUCCUUUGGUAAAGUUUUCCUUUGUGGGUUUCUUUCAGCACUUGACCCAUAGCCCAUGGAAUGUGUCAGCUCUAAUUGCCUGUGUGGAUUGGCACAAGUCGUGCCUCAAAAUUGGAAUGUUGUCACAUAUAACAUAGCCUUUCAGAGGGAUAAAUGUGGAAAAUGUUUUACCCAUGAAUUCCUUAGAAGCAAUUGUGCUCUAUCACGUGAAAGGCUGAAGACCUGGACAGAACCUAAUGACUAUAUCCCCAAGAUCCCCAAGGUUCAGUGGCUUUCAGGAUGUUGCUCUCCCUGACUCCAUGGACAUCACAGAAUGACAGUUGUCCACUGGAGUAUUCUUCACCCAGGCAGCUUUCUAAAAAAAGGAAAUUUGAGAGUUGCAAGGACAGAUGAAGGGGCUGAGGGCCUGGGAUCCCUUUAUGUGAGACUCAUUAUUGAAGAACAACUUAUACAAUUAUUAUCUGAGGACCAGGUGACAGCUGUCAAGAAGGCCUCCUUGUAAGAGGGUGCAGAAUAUAUGAAAUUUGUCUUUAGGUGAUGAUCUACUACUAAGAGUGAUGCUAUGAGGUUGGCAUCUAAGGAAAAGAAAAGAGGCUGGCAUAUGGUGAGCACCUAGUCUGUGCCAUGAAUUGUGAACUUAACCUUGAAUUCUCGUAUGUUCAUCUAAGGUCUGUUUUCUUUAAGGAGAGAUUGUGACCCUCUUGGUCUGGUAUGCAAGCUGUGAUGAAUACAGAGCUCUUCAGAUGGAUCAACCCUUUCCUUACUCACUCUACAGCUAUCCUCACCAGACAGACACACAGACAGAUAGAUAGACAGACAGACACAGGUAGAAGGACAUGCAUUUGGACCAAACACUACAGCAAAAUAGCUCAAAGAUCAUUUCAUACAUCAUAAAUUCAGAUAACUUUCUUCUUUUUCCAUAAAUAGUUCUAAUUUAAAAUACACAGUCAAACACCAACAUGUUGUUACCAAAAACAAAACAAAGCAAAGCAAAACAAAACAAACACUAUAAUAUUAUUUGGGGACCCUAAGCUUGUCAAUGAAUCUGUUUAAUUUUGGAGGUAAAAUUAGCCAGGUUUUGAGAUUGAGCUGACUAUCACAAAACCAGAACUUUCCAUCAGCUGGAGAGGGGCAGUUAAUAACUGCCUCCGGG